AGAGUUUGAUCCUGGCUCAGAACGAACGCUGGCGGCAGGCCUAACACAUGCAAGUCGAGCGCAAUCCUUCGGGAUCGAGCGGCGGACGGGUUAGUAACGCGUGGGAAUGUACCCUUCUCUACGGAAUAGCCUCGGGAAACUGAGAGUAAUACCGUAUACGCCCUUUUGGGGAAAGAUUUAUCGGAGAAGGAUCAGCCCGCGUAAGAUUAGAUAGUUGGUGGGGUAAUGGCCUACCAAGUCUACGAUCUUUAGCUGGUUUUAGAGGAUGAUCAGCAACACUGGGACUGAGACACGGCCCAGACUCCUACGGGAGGCAGCAGUGGGGAAUCUUGGACAAUGGGCGCAAGCCUGAUCCAGCCAUGCCGCGUGUGUGAUGAAGGCCUUAGGGUCGUAAAGCACUUUCGCUAGAGAUGAUAAUGACAGUAUCUAGUAAAGAAGUCCCGCUAACU
rnacentral:rRNA from 1 species